rnacentral:rRNA from 1 species
UACGGGGGGGGCAAGCGUUGUUCGGAAUUACUGGGCGUAAAGGGCUCGUAGGCGGCCAACUAAGUCGGAUGUGAAAUCCCCAGGCUUAACCUGGGAACUGCAUCCGAUACUGGAUGGCUUGAAUCCGGGAGAGGGAUGCAGAAUUCCAGGUGUAGCAGUGAAAUGCGUAGAGAUCGUGAGGAAGACCAACGGCGAAGGCAGCUCUCUGGACAAUUCCUGACGCUGAGGCACGAAGGCCAGGGGAGCAAACGGG